AUUGAACGCCGGCGGCAAGCCUAACACAUGCAAGUCGAACGAGUGGCGGACGGGUGAGUAAUGUCUGGGAAACUGCCCGAUGGAGGGGGAAAAUUACUGGAAACGGUAGCUAAUACCGCAUAUCAUCGGUCGAGCCUAGAUGGGAUAAGCUAGAAGGUGGGGUAAUGACUCACCUAGGCGACGAUCCCUAGCUGGUCUGAGAUGAUGACCAGCCACACUGGAACUGAGACACAGUCCAAACUCCUACGAGAGGCAGCAGUGGGGAAUAUUGCACGAUGGGCACAAGCCUGAUGCAGCCAUGCCGCGUGUAUGAAGAAGGCAUUCGGGUUGUAAAGUACUUUCGGCGGGGAGGCGUUACCCGCGGGAGAAGCACCAGCUAACUCCGUGCCAGCAGCCGCAGUAAUAC
rnacentral:rRNA from 1 species